CAAAGUAAUAAAUGUUCUAUUUCC
rnacentral:siRNA from 1 species